rnacentral:rRNA from 1 species
ACGAACGCUGGCGGCGUGCCUCAUACAUGCAAGUCGAACGAACCGCGACUAGGUGCUUGCACUUGGUCAAGGUGAGUGGCGAACGGGUGAGUAACACGUGGGUAACCUACCUCAUAGUGGGGGAUAACAGUCGGAAACGACUGCUAAUACCGCAUAGGACAUAGGAUCACAUGAUUCUGUGAGGAAAGGUGGCGCAAGCUAUCGCUAAGAGAUGGACCCGCGGUGCAUUAGCUAGUUGGUAGGGUAAAGACCUACCAAGGCGAUGAUGCAUAGCCGACCUGAGAGGGUGAUCGGCCACAUUGGGACUGAGACACGGCCCAAACUCCUACGGGAGGCAGCAGUAGGGAAUCUUCCGCAAUGGACGCAAGUCUGACGGAGCAACGCCGCGUGAGUGAAGAAGGUCUUCGGAUCGUAAAGCUCUGUUGUUAGAGAAGAACAGCGCAUAGAGUAACUGUUAUGCGUGUGACGGUAUCUAACCAGAAAGCCACGGCUAACUACGUG